rnacentral:rRNA from 1 species
ACUCCUACGGGAGGCAGCAGUGAGGAAUAUUGGUCAAUGGACGAGAGUCUGAACCAGCCAAGUAGCGUGAAGGAUGACUGCCCUAUGGGUUGUAAACUUCUUUUAUAAGGGAAUAAAGUGAGGGACGUGUCCCUUUUUGUAUGUACCUUAUGAAUAAGGAUCGGCUAACUCCGUGCCAGCAGCCGCGGUAAUAC